UGGGGUAUAGCUAAGUGGUACAGCAUUUGCCUAACAUGUGCAAGGUCCUGGGUUUGAUCCCAGCACUACAA
rnacentral:tRNA from 1 species